UCCGCCCCUUAUAGAAUCGAUUAUUGAUGGGAAGAUAUUAUUUAACUAUCCAAAAUAUUAUUUAAUUAUUUUCAGAAUUAUUUUCUUUCAAUGUUUAUUCAAAUAGAACUUAAACCCAUCUCAGAAUUUUUAAAUGCUUGAUGACGUCACAUUUAAAACGUGGCAACAUUGGUUUCCCCACUUUGACAGCCAAUGCUUAGUAGAGGGGUACGAAGGAUUCAGCUGUGAACGUGAGCCUUGGAUUGCCAUUGUUUCUCGAGUGUUCGGUCUGAAUCGUAGUGUGCGGGGUCAUUAGACUCAAUUAUUCACCUCUAAUUCUCAGUUCCAAAUUGAUUAAAUAUUACAAUAAAAGUAUAGUGAAGUUAUCCAGCAGCAGUGGAUUUGAAGAAUUUUAGAGCAUACUAUAUCCAAUGAGUUCUACCCCGCACCUACCAUGAAAUCUUAAAGCCACCCUACAACAACACCAAGGCCAGACCACACAGAGAGAAACAAUCAAUAGGCGACCAGCCUGGAUUAUUUCCACAUUUUCUUUUUUUUGAGUACCUCCAGCUGCUUUCCAACAGUUUUGAGUACCUUCAGCUGCUUUCUACCAGUCUUCCUCUCCUGUACCUCCAGCAGGACAGCUGCUAGCGAGAGUUAGCACCCUUGGGUGCUCAUUACAUCAACUUCAAGAUUAGGAAAGAGUGGUUUGUUUGGGAACAUUUACUGUGCUCUUAUUAAAGACAGACUGGUUUUGUGAUAUUUAGUACAUUUUUUUUUAUAGUUCAAUUGCACACACAUUUUUCCUGCUUUAUAUUUUUUAUAGGUUUUUUUUCUUUACAACAUAAUAUUUAAUUGAUAGCGUUCCCCAACACUCUGCAAUCUAUAAAGGUAUAAAUUUCUGAGCUCAGAUAUUUUCCCUGAUAAUAGUAGUCGGUACUCUUAUCUUGAUUAUUUUUAGGCUGUGUUCCACUUUUGUAUAAUUAUUUAAACUCAUUCCAUUAUUUUAGUAUAUGUUUAAUUAAAUUUUUAAAAAUUAACUUCACAUAUUAGUCAAAAUUGUAAUUAUUAACUUUAUUUAACUUGAACUUAUUAACUUUACUUAACUUUAACUUAUUAACUUUAUUUAACUUUAACUUUAAUUUAUUAAAUUCAUAUGAACUUCUGGAUUCUAAUCCCUCAGAUUAGUUUUUGGUUUCACUUGUUAUUAUUACUAUUAUAAACCACGAGUUAGGAAAAGGAUCUGUGUAUCCACUCGUAGGUUUAUUUAUUCAAUAAGGCUUGUGCCUGUCCCACUCACAGUGAGGUAUUUAUAUGUUAUAUAUAGUAUCAGGUAGUAUUUAAUUAAGGUGUACGUAUUAUAAACGUACAAUUAUUAUUUGGUGAGGGUUCUACUAACCUAGUUGUAAGUUGUACUUCCUGUAUUAGAGGUACCCGUAGUCAGUUUUUCUAACCUUAUAAAGAGUAUUCUUAGAUCAUAGUUGUAUGAUGAUUUUGUAAUUGACUUUCACUAGUAUCACUUUUUCCUGUCAUGUUAGAGUUACACACUAGUUACUUGUCCUAACUCAGAGGUUGUUAAAAAGAUCUAGUAGUUACAUUCAAUAAAUAUACAUUUAUUGUGA